rnacentral:misc_RNA from 1 species
CGAAAAAGACCCAAGUAAAUUAAUGAAAAAGAGAGAAAACCUCGACUGUUGCCAUCGGGUUCAAGUAAAUAUCCGGCUUGAAUCCAUCAACUAAACUUAGAUUUCGCAAUCAAUUGGCUUGGCAGAGGCUAGACUCCUUGAAUCCAUCGGCCUGCGCAACCAUAGACACUCGAAGGAGGAGCUGCUUUUGAAUCAAAGAGUAGGGUGUGGGUAUGAAACGAUAGAGGAAAUUGGUUUUGGUGAACUGGUUUCAGUGGAGUGCUAGGCUUGAGGGUGGUCUAGUAUAUGACAAGAAGGUCGGCUAAAGGAGCUGUGAUCUUAGUCUCUUGAGGGAGAUGGGUCUGCUAUUGAUUGCAAGUGCGUGUGAUGUUGUGGCAAUCUCAGAUGGCGGUAGUGAUAGUAAUGUCAAUGGGUUUCGGGUAAGUUGCAAAGGGACAAUCUGUGAGCGAUAAACCAACAUGUGUCUUUGGUGUUGUGAUGCAAAGGGUUGGUAUGAAUGAGCAGAGGGAGAGAUGGGUUCAAUGGUGUGCCAGCGUUAAAGAUGUAAUCGAAGAAAUCCAUACUUCAAACCAUCAUCUCCGAUGCUUAAUCUCCAAAUCAACCCGGAUUCUUUGACCCGUGAACAGGUCAUUACAGAGGUUGCUUCACUUGCAGAGGAGGCGGGUUCGAUGGUGGCAUUGGGUUUCUUCAAUUUGGCAAUUGGGUUUGCAAAGUUUAGGCAUUUUUUGAGGUUGUACAUCGUUUGUGCUACUUCUUUAAUUGGUAAUGGCAGUUUCGAUAGAGCCCGUGAAGCGAUGCGAAUUAUGGACAGGAGCUUUGCUGAGAUUGGGAGGUAAUCUUCAAAUUUCCAACCUAAAUUGAAUGGCUAGUAUUUGUCCAACAAAGAUCCAACGUGUGAACAAUGGUUUGAUGGGUUCCUCCCCAGAAGAAAGAACCACCCAAAUUCUAGAUCAAGAUUUUCUCCAACUUAAUUGGGGACCAUAAGUUAUAUUAAAGGAGCAGGACAAGUAAUAUACGUGUUUAGAAAUCUACACUAAAUUUCAAGCUUUCUCUAUGUGUGGCUAUUAUUGUUCUAUGAAGCUCUCGUUCACACCAUCCUCCAAUAAAAAACCAAAGGCUCUCUAGUUUUACGCCAAAAAAUAUCCUCUCCACACCCAAAGAACCUAAAGAAAAAGGAAAACCAACCAAAAGCACACAUCUCAGAUUCUUGCAAGCAGAAAGACAGAGAAACUUGUAGCACUACUCUUGGGUGUUUUUCAAUGGCCGCUUCAAUUUCAGCAACUGGGUUUAAAGGAGGUUUUGGUACCAAUUCAUUUAUGGUUGGUGAAGACUAUGGCAUGUUGGCUAAGUCAGUGCCAAUACAUGUAAGGGUUGCAAAGCCAGUAAGAUUGGCGCCCAUGAUGAAGAACGUCAAUGAAGGGAAGGGUCUUUUUGCACCUAUUGUCGUUGUCACUCGCAACAUAAUUGGCAAGAAAAGGUUUAACCAGUUUAGAGGCAAAGCAAUUUCCUUACACUCUCAGGUAAACUUAUGUGUGUUUCUGCUCUUUUGGUUAGAUUUGCUCUGUAGGUCUUGCAGAUGAGAAAUUUGCUAUAUUUACUUUUUCUUGAUUUAUUUUCUAAACAAAUAAAGAGUUAGAUUUUUUUUUUAUCUCCUGAAAAUUAGACCGAUUUAGAAGCAUAAUUUUUUAAAUAUAUAUAUGUAUAUAUAUUUCAAUCUAUUUAUUUACUUGUAUAUAUUGUUUUCAUGUUCUCUGUGUGAUACCACAAGCACAGCUGUGCCGAACAUCUACUUCAAUUUUAGACCACAGAUUUAUUCAGUGGUCUGCUGGUUUUUGUAUUCUAGUGGAUUUUUUUUUUCGGUGGGGAAAAGGGUGGGUGUAAUUUAUAGAUAAUUUUAGUGAUAAUUUGUUUUCUUUGAGAAAAAAAAAAGUUAAUUGAUAAAUUUCAAGCAAAUUUACUGAGUUGCUUAUGCUGUUAAAUGUACAGGUGAUUAAUGAAUUCUGCAAAUCAAUAGGAGCAGACUCGAAACAAAGGCAAGGACUGAUCAGGUUAGCCAAGAAGAAUGGAGAAAGACUUGGAUUCCUCGCUUGAGGAAAGGCUAUCAUCACCAUUUGAGAAGCUUCAAAUCCAUAUCUUAUUUUGUUAAAAGACUUUGAGAUGUAAAAGAUCUCUUCAUAUGCGUACCUUUGAACCAUAAUGUUCAUUAUAUUCCCACAUCAUUAGUCAUUUUAGUUGUAAUAAUACUUUGUCCUCAAAUUAUCGAACAAUAGUAAUAGUUCUUUAAAUCAAGAAAUUUUAGCAAA